GGGCUCGUAGCUCAGCACGGACAGAGCGCCGGCCUUCUAAGCCGGGUGUCGCGGGUUCAAAUCCCGUCGGGCCCG
rnacentral:tRNA from 1 species